rnacentral:rRNA from 1 species
AACAACGGAUCUCUUGGUUCUGGCAUCGAUGAAGAACGCAGCGAAAUGCGAUAAGUAAUGUGAAUUGCAGAAUUCAGUGAAUCAUCGAAUCUUUGAACGCACAUUGCGCCCGCCAGCAUUCUGGCGGGCAUGCCUGUUCGAGCGUCAUUUCAACCCUCAAGCUCUGCUUGGUGUUGGGGC